UAGGUCUUUUGCCUUGUUUACUCUUGAC
rnacentral:piRNA from 1 species